rnacentral:rRNA from 1 species
UACGUAGGGCGCAAGCGUUAAUCGGAAUUACUGGGCGUAAAGAGUGUGUAGGCGGUGCUCUAAGUUCGGUGUGAAAUCUCCUGCUUAACUGGGAGGGUGCGCCGGAAACUGGAGUGCUUGAGCGUGGGAGAGGAAAGCGGAAUUCCUGGUGUAGCGGUGAAAUGCGUAGAGAUCGGCAGGAACACCCAGGGGGAAACCAGCCGACUGGGCAUCUGCUGACGCUGAGGUGCGAGAGCGUGGGGAGCGAACCGG